rnacentral:rRNA from 1 species
CCUACGGGUGGCAGCAGUAGGGAAUCUUUCACAAUGGGCGAAAGCCUGAUGGAGCAACGCCGCGUGCAGGAUGAAGGCCUUCGGGUUGUAAACUGCUUUUAUAAGCGAGAAAUAUGAUGGUAACUUAUGAAUAAGGAUCGGCUAACUACGUGCCAGCAGCCGCGGUCAUACGUAGGAUCCGAGCAUUAUCCGGGGUGACUGGGUGUAAAGAGUUGCGUAGGUGGCAUAAUAAGUAGCUAGUGAAAUCUGGUGGCUCAACCAUUCAGACUAUUAGCUAAACUGUUAAGCUCGAGACCGUUAGGGGUAACUGGAAUCUCUAGUGUAGGAGUGAAAUCCGUAGAUAUUAGAAGGAACACCAAUAGCGUAGGCAGGUUGCUGGGACGGUUCUGACACUAAGGCACGAAAGCGUAGGGAGCAAACGGGAUUAGAUACCCCAGUAGUC